rnacentral:tRNA from 1 species
GGAGAGGUGCCAGAGUGGCCGAAUGGGGCGGUCUCGAAAACCGUUGUCCCGCAAGGGACCCAGAGUUCGAAUCUCUGCCUCUCCG